UACGUAGGCAGCAAGCGUUGUUCGGAAUUACUGGGCGUAAAGAGUGUGUAGGCGGUGUUCUAAGUUUGUCGUGAAAUCUCCCGGCUUAACUGGGAGGGUGCGGCGAAAACUGGAAUGCUAGGAGGAUGGGAGAGGUAAGCGGAAUUCCUGGUGUAGCGGUGAAAUGCGUAGAUAUCAGGAGGAACACCUGUGGUGUAGACAGCUUACUGGACCAUUUCUGACGCUGAGACACGAAAGCGUGGGUAGCAAACAGG
rnacentral:rRNA from 1 species